AUGCACCCCUUGAGAGCACCUCGUCCGGAUGGGCUCCCUACCCUAGAUUCUUAUUUCAAAAGUAUUGGCAUGUGGCUGAAAGUGGUUCUUCCCGGAAUUAUUGAUGAGGAGCAGAGCACUUUUGUGAAAAGGCGUUUAAUCACAGACAAUGCUUUGGUAGCGAUGGAGUGCUUUCAUUGGAUGAAGAAGAAGACGAAAGGAAGGAAAGGCGUGAUGGCUCUUAAGCUGGAUAUGGAAAAAGCUUUUGAUAGAAUAUAG